rnacentral:rRNA from 1 species
GACGAACGCUGGCGGCGUGCCUAAUACAUGCAAGUAGAACGCUGAAGCGAGGAGCUUGCUCUUCUUGGCUAAGUUGCGAACGGGUGAGUAACGCGUAGGUAACCUGCCUUGUAGCGGGGGAUAACUAUUGGAAACGAUAGCUAAUACCGCAUAACAAUGGAUGACACAUGUCAUUUAUUUGAAAGGGGCAAUUGUUCCACUACAAGAUGGACCUGCGUUGUAUUAGCUAGUAGGUGAGGUAAUGGCUCACCUAGGCGACGAUACAUAGCCGACCUGAGAGGGUGAUCGGCCACACUGGGACUGAGACACGGCCCAGACUCCUACGGGAGGCAGCAGUAGGGAAUCUUCGGCAAUGGGGGCAACCCUGACCGAGCAACGCCGCGUGAGUGAAGAAGGUUUUCGGAUCGUAAAGCUCUGUUGUAAGUCAAGAACGGGUGUGAGAGUGGAAAGUUCACACUGUGACGGUAGCUUACCAGAAAGGGACGGCUAACUACGUG